GGGAGAUGAUGAUGAUGCAUGAUGAUGCUUUUUAGAUGCUGCUUUUUAUUUAGAUGAUAUUUUGAUGCUUUUUAAAUGAUGUAUUUAGAUGAUGAUGAUGGUGAUGUAUUUAGAUGAUGAUGAUGAUGCUUAUUUAGGUGUUGAUGGUUUUCUAACGUAACUCUUGACUAUAUAACUGUUUAUGUUUGAUCUUUAAAGA
rnacentral:lncRNA from 1 species